rnacentral:rRNA from 1 species
GCACCACAAGAACGCGUGGAGCAUGUGGCUUAAUUUGACUCAACGCGGGAAAUCUUACCGGGUCCGGACACACUGAGGAUUGACAGGCAAUAUCUCAUGGUUAUUAACCCGGUUAUUACAUUUUGUUUAAUCGGUUAUUAAGCAUCGAGUGUUAAAUAUGCUAGUCCUUUCAUGAUUAUGUGAUAGGUGGUGCAUGGCCGUUCUUAGUUCGUGGAGUGAUCUGUCUGCUUAAUUGCGUUUCACUAAGGGCCCAUAAAUUCAAGGUAUGUUAGCUAUCGUCGCUCUAUGGACCCCUUA